GGGCACGUGAACAAAAGUGCGAAUCUCAUUGGGCGGCCGGUUUUUGCUGCUUUUCCGCCACGUGUUUUAUGCCCGAGUGUGAAAACUCAUUGACAGCGACAGGAGGCGUUAAACAGACCGUUUUGAACCAUCCCCGUGUGAACAGGGCUUUAGGUGUUCAUUGUGUGCAUUGUAGUGCGUUGUUCCUGUCGUGGAAAUUAGACAACACUCACAGACUCGUCCUCUGAAGGUAAAAAGGUUUAUUACAGAAAGAUGGUUAAUACAGGAUAGAAUAAAGCAGGACAGAAUAAUGAGAGCGCUCUGAAAUCCUUGUACUAAACCACUACUAUAUAUAUGAAACGCAGAGCAUGACAUCAUUCUGUGUACCGAUAAGAAGCAGUUUGAGGCAGUUCAAACAGGCUUUGUUUUAGGAUCUUAGAUGAUGUUUAGAUGAGCCUAGAACAGAAGAACAUGUUUGUGUCUCUGUAAGCAGAUAAACAUUCUGAUCUCAGUGACAUCACAUGGCCUUCUGAGUCGUUAUCCUCACAUGAGAAUGAAACAGAACAAGAAUAAAACUAUUUCAAAGUAAAAAUGAAUAAUUUCCCUCAGAGUGUAAUGAACAGAAUCUGCUGUUUGUUAAUAACUGGAAUCUGUUCUGGGAGCGUCCUAGGUUGUUUCGUCCUGAUGGCCUGCACCCUAGCAGCCUCGGAGCGGAACUGCUGUCUGACAACAUCUCCAAGACGCUACACUCCAAGUGACUGUCUACCUCAAUGGUGCAACAAGGUAUCUGGACUAGAUGACCUAUCUGGCCUUUGAUUAGGCCUACUGCAUCUUCUGAUGGAGAUGUACAACGAAGUGCGUGAGUUUAAAAGACCUGUGUUCCUGUAGGUGUUGAGAGGAUAGUGUGGAGGAUACGUUUGGCUCGGAUCAGGAGGAUCCUUAGGCUCUUGCCAGAGUUUCUGCGCAUGUGGUGUUGGCAGUUCAGGAGCAGAGACGAGCGACUCUGAUCGCAAUCAUCCGUGAUCUAAGGUGGCAACUUCAGCGCAUAGGGUUCAUUACGCACCGGUUUCACUGAUCGCAUUUAACGUGCAGCCGAGAAGCUGACGGAAGGUGAGCUGCAUGAUGGCAGGCUGAUCGCCGAUCAGAAGAAGGAGGUGGAAGAUUGAGGAGCUGAUUUUUAUUUUGUUUUUUUUUUGUUAAAUAAAAGGUUUCUUUAAACAACCAA